CCGCGUGAGGGACGACGGCCUUCGGGUUGUAAACCUCUUUUAGCAGGAAAGAAGCGAAAGUGACGGUACCUGCAGAAAAAGCGCCGGCUAACUACGUGCCAGCAGCCGCGGUAAUACGUAGGGCGCAAGCGUUAUCCGGAAUUAUUGGGCGUAAAGAGCUCGUAGGCGGUCUGUCGCGUCUGCUGUGAAAACCCGAGGCUCAACCUCGGGCCUGCAGUGGGUACGGGCAGACUAGAGUGCGGUAGGGGAGAUUGGAAUUCCUGGUGUAGCGGUGGAAUGCGCAGAUAUCAGGAGGAACACCGAUGGCGAAGGCAGAUCUCUGGGCCGUAACUGACGCUGAGGAGCGAAAGGGUGGGGAGCAAACAGGCUUAGAUACCCUGGUAGUCCACCCCGUAAACGUUGGGAACUAGUUGUGGGGUCCAUUCCACGGAUUCCGUGACGCAGCUAACGCAUUAAGUUCCCCGCCUGGGGAGUACGGCCGCAAGGCUAAAACUCAAAGGAAUUGACGGGGACCCGCACAAGCGGCGGAGCAUGCGGAUUAAUUCGAUGCAACGCGAAGAACCUUACCAAGGCUUGACAUAUACGAGAACGGGCCAGAAAUGGUCAACUCUUUGGACACUCGUAAACAGGUGGUGCAUGGUUGUCGUCAGCUCGUGUCGUGAGAUGUUGGGUUAAGUCCCGCAACGAGCGCAACCCUCGUUCUAUGUUGCCAGCACGUAAUGGUGGGAACUCAUGGGAUACUGCCGGGGUCAACUCGGAGGAAGGUGGGGAUGACGUCAAAUCAUCAUGC
rnacentral:rRNA from 1 species